rnacentral:rRNA from 1 species
UACGUAGGGGGCGAGCGUUGUCCGGAAUCAUUGGGCGUAAAGAGCGUAUAGGCGGCUUGGCAAGUCUGACGUGAAAUCCCGCGGCUCAACCGCGGUAGGUCGUUGGAAACUGCCUCGCUAGAGUCCGGAAGAGGAGAGCGGAAUUCCUGGUGUAGCGGUGGAAUGCGCAGAUAUCAGGAAGAACACCCGUGGCGAAGGCGGCUCUCUGGGACGGUACUGACGCUGAGACGCGAAAGCGUGGGGAGCGAACAGG